CCUACGGGUGGCAGCAGUGGGGAAUAUUGCGCCAUGGGCGAAAGCCUGACGCAGCGACGCCGCGUGAGGGCUGAAGGUCUUCGGAUCGUACACCUCUGUCAGCAGGGAAGAACGGUCACUGUGCUAAUCAGCAGUGACUUGACGGUACCUGCAAAGGAAGCACCGGCUAACUCCGUGCCAGCAGCCGCGGUAAUACGGAGGGUGCGAGCGUUAAUCGGAAUUACUGGGCGUAAAGCGCUCGUAGGCGGUAUGUCAAGUCAAGGGUGAAAUCCCCGCGCUCAACGGGGGAACUGCCUUUGAAACUGGCAAACUGGAGUGUGUGAGAGGAUAGUGGAAUUCCAGGUGUAGGAGUGAAAUCCGUAGAUAUCUGGAGGAACAUCAGUGGCGAAGGCGACUAUCUGGCACAUAACUGACGCUGAGGAGCGAAAGCGUGGGGAGCAAACAGGAUUAGAUACCCGAGUAGUC
rnacentral:rRNA from 1 species